CAUAUUUCAUAAACCCUUUCAUCUGAUCCAAAACCCUACGUUUGUGAUUGUGCGUUCUGUUUUUGUUCAAUGGCACGCUUACUUCGUUCCCUCAGAAAACUCCCAACCCUAACCCUAACACACCAAUUUCACCAUCAACAGCAACAAUUAUGCAUUUCUCAACACCUAUUCCGGAGAAGUUACAUAUCGGAAAUGCGCAAAGAAGCUUUCGAGGGUAACAUUUUGAGACUCCUUCGCAACGAGAUUCAGUACGAGCUCCAAUCUGCUUCUACCUUCAAAUCUGCUACGAAGUUUGGUUCCUUUGUGGUGGAUGGCCGAGCUGGGGAGCGGUGGAUUACACUGAAAAAACGACAUGCUGAUGAAGACAUUAAACUUGAAGGCACCAUGUUUGAUGGAGCUGUUCCUGCUCCAACUCCAACAAAAGAUGGUGGUGUAAUUAAUUCUGAUGAAAUGCAGAUGCACAUUACUGUAAUUGUCACUAUCUCCAAGGGAGAAGGUGAUGGUGUGUUGCAAAUUACGUGUUCUGCUUGGCCUGAUUGUGUAGAGAUAAAAAGGUUGUUCAUACGUGCAAAUGAGAAUAUAAUAGCUGAGCCCUAUUCUGGUCCGCAAUUCACGGAAUUGGACGAUGAGUUGCAAGAGAGCCUCUAUGAUUAUUUGGAAGAAAGGGGCAUAAAUGAUGAACUUGCUGCUUUCUUGCAUCAGUACAUGAAACAAAAGGAUAAAACGGAGUAUGUAAGAUGGAUGGAAAGGGUCAAGGCUUUUAUUGAAAGAAAAUGAGGACAUUAAAUCACUUCUCCUGUAUUUUUUGGUCACUGAAGUGUGAAUCUAGGCAGAUUCUGCAUUCUUAUCCACUUUUAUGAUUUUGAUUUCGGUUGUGCAAUCUAUAAACAGUGAUUCUUGAUAUUUGAUUACUAGUAGCCAACAGCUGAAUAAUGGAUGCAAUUAUUUUGAUCUUGUUCCAAAACAAUGGCUUAGAAGAUAUCAUAUAUACUUUGGGGAGCUUUGAUUACUUACUAUACUAGUACUCACUUGUGUUAUAAAAGUAUAUAAUACUCUCUGCUUAUGAUACCAGUUAAGCACAUCAGCAUUCAUACCCGUGCCUGGGAAUAUCCAAACAUGGAUUACAACCGAAAUGCAGUCAUUGGGAUAACAAGGAUUUGUUGUAUAUUGUAGAUUGUUCAUUUGGUUGUUAAAGUUACUGAAUGUAGUAACUUGGUUUGAUGUGCUUGAGAAAUGAGUUCCAGAAAGGAAAGGGAGGAAUUUAUUUCUAUUUUUUUUUUUUUGUAAUUU